GCCUACGGCCAUACCACCCUGAAAGCGCCUGAUCUCGGAAGCUAAGCAGGGGCGGGCUUGGUUAGUACCUUGAUGGGAGACCGCCUGGGAAUACCAGGUGUUGUAGGCU
rnacentral:rRNA from 1 species